CCUACGGGAGGCAGCAGUGGGGAAUCUUGCACAAUGGGGAAACCCUGAUGCAGCGAUGCCGCGUGAGUGAAGAAGGCCUAUGGGUUGUAAAACUCUUUCGUCGGGGAAGAAAAUGACUGUACCCGAAUAAGAAGGUCCGGCUAACUUCGUGCCAGCAGCCGCGGUAAUACGAAGGGACCUAGCGUAGUUCGGAAUUACUGGGCUUAAAGAGCUCGUAGGUGGUUAAAAUAGUUGAUGGUGAAAUCCCAAGGCUCAACCUUGGAACUGCCAUCAAAACUUUUUAGCUAGAGUGUGAUAGAGGUAAGUGGAAUUUCUAGUGUAGAGGUGAAAUUCGUAGAUAUUAGAAAGAACACCAAAUGCGAAGGCAACUUACUGGGUCACUACUGACACUGAGGAGCGAAAGCAUGGGUAGCGAAGAGGAUUAGAUACCCUCGUAGUCCAUGCCGUAAACGAUGUGUGCUAGACGUUGGAAAUAUAUUUUUCAGUGUCGCAGCGAAAGCAUUAAGCACACCGCCUGGGGAGUACGACCGCAAGGUUAAAACUCAAAGGAAUUGACGG
rnacentral:rRNA from 1 species